ACCCCUAAGGCGAGGCCGAAAGGCGUAGUCGAUGGGAAACGGGUUAAUAUUCCCGUACUUGGUGUUACUGCGAAGGGGGGACGGAGAAGGCUAUGUUGGCCGGGCGACGGUUGUCCCGGUUUAAGCGUGUAGGUGUGUGUUCCAGGUAAAUCCGGUUCACUUUAACACUGAGGCGUGACGACGAGGCACUACGGUGCUGAAGCAACAAAUGCCCUGCUUCCAGGAAAAGCCUCUAAGCAUCAGGUAACAUCAAAUCGUACCCCAAACCGACACAGGUGGUCAGGUAGAGAAUACCAAGGCGCUUGAGAGAACUCGGGUGAAGGAACUAGGCAAAAUGGUGCCGUAACUUCGGGAGAAGGCACGCUGACACGUAGGUGAAGUGAUUUACUCAUGGAGCUGAAGUCAGUCGAAGAUACCAGCUGGCUGCAACUGUUUAUUAAAAACACAGCACUGUGCAAACACGAAAGUGGACGUAUACGGUGUGACGCCUGCCCGGUGCCGGAAGGUUAAUUGAUGGGGUCAGCGCAAGCGAAGCUCCUGAUCGAAGCCCCGGUAAACGGCGGCCGUAACUAUAACGGUCCUAAGGUAGCGAAAUUCCUUGUCGGGUAAGUUCCGACCUGCACGAAUGGCGUAAUGAUGGCCAGGCUGUCUCCACCCGAGACUCAGUGAAAUUGAACUCGCUGUGAAGAUGCAGUGUACCCGCGGCAAGACGGAAAGACCCCGUGAACCUUUACUAUAGCUUGACACUGAACAUUGAGCCUUGAUGUGUAGGAUAGGUGGGAGGCUUUGAAGCGUGGACGCCAGUCUGCAUGGAGCCGACCUUGAAAUACCACCCUUUAAUGUUUGAUGUUCUAACGUGGACCCGUGAUCCGGGUUGCGGACAGUGUCUGGUGGGUAGUUUGACUGGGGCGGUCUCCUCCUAAAGAGUAACGGAGGAGCACGAAGGUUGGCUAAUCCUGGUCGGACAUCAGGAGGUUAGUGCAAUGGCAUAAGCCAGCUUGACUGCGAGCGUGACGGCGCGAGCAGGUGCGAAAGCAGGUCAUAGUGAUCCGGUGGUUCUGAAUGGAAGGGCCAUCGCUCAACGGAUAAAAGGUACUCCGGGGAUAACAGGCUGAUACCGCCCAAGAGUUCAUAUCGACGGCGGUGUUUGGCACCUCGAUGUCGGCUCAUCACAUCCUGGGGCUGAAGUAGGUCCCAAGGGUAUGGCUGUUCGCCAUUUAAAGUGGUACGCGAGCUGGGUUUAGAACGUCGUGAGACAGUUCGGUCCCUAUCUGCCGUGGGCGCUGGAGAACUGAGGGGGGCUGCUCCUAGUACGAGAGGACCGGAGUGGACGCAUCACUGGUGUUCGGGUUGUCAUGCCAAUGGCACUGCCCGGUAGCUAAAUGCGGAAGAGAUAAGUGCUGAAAGCAUCUAAGCACGAAACUUGCCCCGAG
rnacentral:rRNA from 1 species